rnacentral:tRNA from 1 species
GGCGAUAUAGCUCAGUUGGCUAGAGCAUGCGGUUCAUACCCGCAGUGUCAGUGGUUCGAAUCCACUUAUCGCUACCA